rnacentral:tRNA from 1 species
UCCCUGUGUGGCGAAAAUGGUUAAUACGCGCCAGACUUAGAAUCUGGUGGAUUAAAUUCCGUGGGAGUUCGAGUCUCCCCUAAGGGAC